UACAGAGGUCUCAAGCGUUGUUCGGAUUCAUUGGGCGUAAAGGGUGCGUAGGUGGCGCCGUAAGUCAGGUGUGAAAGCCCCGGGCUCAACCUGGGAACUGCAUUUGAAACUGGCGGGCUUGAGUGUGGCAGAGGGGGGUGGAAUUCCGCGUGUAGCAGUGAAAUGCGUAGAGAUGCGGAGGAACACCGAUGGCGAAGGCAGCCCCCUGGGCCAACACUGACGCUCAGGCACGAAAGCGUGGGGAUCAAACAGG
rnacentral:rRNA from 1 species